rnacentral:rRNA from 1 species
UACAGAGGUCCCCAAGCGUUGUUCGGAUUCACUGGGCGUAAAGGGUGCGUAGGCGGUCGGGUAAGUCUGAUGUGAAAUCUCACAGCUUAACUGUGAAACUGCAUUGGAUACUAUUCGGCUUGAGAGUUGGAGGGGGGGACUGGAAUUCUUGGUGUAGCAGUGAAAUGCGUAGAUAUCAAGAGGAACACCAGUGGCGAAGGCGAGUCCCCUGGACAACUUCUGACGCUGAGGCACGAAAAGCUAGGGGGGAGCAAA